AGUGAACGCUGGCGGUAGGCCUAACACAUGCAAGUCGAACGGCAGCACAGGAGAGCUUGCUCUCUGGGUGGCGAGUGGCGGACGGGUGAGGAAUACAUCGGAAUCUACUUUUUCGUGGGGGAUAACGUAGGGAAACUUACGCUAAUACCGCAUACGACCUACGGGUGAAAGCAGGGGACCUUCGGGCCUUGCGCGAUUGAAUGAGCCGAUGUCGGAUUAGCUAGUUGGCGGGGUAAAGGCCCACCAAGGCGGCGAUCCGUAGCUGGUCUGGGAGGAUGAUCAGCCACACUGGAACUGAGACACGGUCCAGACUCCUACGGGAGGCAGCAGUGGGGAAUAUUGGACAAUGGGCGCAAGCCUGAUCCAGCCAUACCGCGUGGGGGAAGAAGGCCUUCGGGUUGUAAAGCCCUUUUGUUGGGAAAGAAAUCCAGCUGGCUAAUACCCGGUUGGGAUGACGGUACCCAAAGAAUAAGCACCGGCUAACUUCGUGCCAGCAGCCGCGGUAA
rnacentral:rRNA from 1 species